CCUACGGGGGGCAGCAGUGGGGAAUAUUGGACAAUGGGGGCAACCCUGAUCCAGCCAUGCCGCGUGUGUGAAGAAGGCCCUCGGGUUGUAAAGCACUUUCAGUGAGGAAGAACGCCUGGUGGUUAAUACCCAUCAGGAAAGACAUCACUCACAGAAGAAGCACCGGCUAACUCCGUGCCAGCAGCCGCGGUAAUACGGAGGGUGCGAGCGUUAAUCGGAAUUACUGGGCGUAAAGCGCGCGUAGGUGGCUUGAUAAGCCGGUUGUGAAAGCCCCGGGCUCAACCUGGGAACGGCAUCCGGAACUGUCAAGCUAGAGUGCAGGGGAGGAAGGUAGAAUUCCCGGUGUAGCGGUGAAAUGCGUAGAGAUCGGGAGGAAUACCAGUGGCGAAGGCGGCCUUCUGGACUGACACUGACACUGAGGUGCGAAAGCGUGGGUAGCAAACAGGAUUAGAUACCCUAGUAGUC
rnacentral:rRNA from 1 species